CCUUUUUGAUGUACUUUUCACACGCUUUCCUUGUUAGCUAUCCAUUAGACCUUAUGAUCGUUCACCAUUUCAUAAUCAAUAAACAAACCCUUGAUCCAACGUUAAGCGGUAUUUUCUCAAAUCAAACUCAAAAAUAUAAUAAGAUGUGAUUAGAAUUGUAGGCUACGAGCCUUAAGUGGUAAAGAAGGAAUGAGAAUGGAGCUUUCCUACACUCGUUCUGAGUAUUUUAGAUACAAGACGUUUGGAUUGGUAGUUCGAGGUGUUCAACUUUAC
rnacentral:lncRNA from 1 species